rnacentral:lncRNA from 1 species
AGUGAAAAGAAACAGGUCAAUAAUCAUAUUUUGGAAAGAUUAGCAAAUCUGAGAAUACAAAAUUUAUUUCUGUUUCAUUUAAGGCUUCCUGAUACAGUAUCAAAAAUUCACCCACCAAAAAUAACAAACCAAACCAUCAGCAAAAACAAACAGACAAGAAAAACAGCAUCCCAUCUGUUUCUGCAUAACAUCGUCUACCCAAGACAAACAACCUCACAAAGGGCCAGAUUUACCUCCUUGCUGGCAUCCGCUAUGGCAGCAGCAAUGAUGGAGAAGACAAAAUUGUUGUCCACUGACGGUGGACAACACCUCAGAAAGUCUCACAGUACCAGUUUUGGGUUGAACAAUGUGCUCCAGCGAGCAACACCCCACCAUAGGCAUGACUGGAGUGAGAAGCUUUACCAAGACAUUUUGCUACCUGUCAACAAACACAACAGAAAAGGACUUUUGAAACUACGCAUCAAGUCUGCAGGUAUCAGAAAGCAGCCGAAGCACUGA